GUGUCAGCAGCCGCGGUAAGACAGAGGUGGCGAGCGUUGUUCGGAUUUAUUGGGCGUAAAGCGUACGCAGGCGGUUUGGUAAGUCAGAGGUGAAAGCUCGCAGCUUAACUGCGACACUGCCUUUGAUACUGCCUUUCUUGAGUAGAGUAGGGGGAAGCGGAAUUCCGAGUGUAGAGGUGAAAUUCGUAGAUAUUCGGAGGAACACCGGUGGCGAAGGCGGCUUCCUGGACUCUAACUGACGCUCAUGUACGAAAGCGUGGGUAGCAAACAGGAUUAGAAACCCCGGUAGUCC
rnacentral:rRNA from 1 species